AACUGAUACUACCUGCGGGAACCUGCGGAAGGAUCAUUACCUAGAGUUGCGGGCUUUGCCUGCUAUCUCUUACCCAUGUCUUUUGAGUACCUUCGUUUCCUCGGCGGGUUCGCCCGCCGAUUGGACAAUUUAAACCAUUUGCAGUUGCAAUCAGCGUCUGAAAAAACUUAAUAGUUACAACUUUCAACAACGGAUCUCU
rnacentral:misc_RNA from 1 species